rnacentral:lncRNA from 1 species
GCAGGAAGCACAGCUGAGCAACUGGGCCGAGCCCUCAAUCCCGGCCGCGGCCCGGCUCUGGAGCAGCUCCAGCGCCCUCUGCCCCACGGGCCCCGCCCCGCGCGGGGUCACGCGCGCUGGCCUCGCCAAUAGGCAGCGGUGGCUGGAGCGCGUGGGGUCUCGCGGGAGCGCGGGGCUCUAUUUAAUGCGCGGAGAGAGCCAGCCCGCCCUCUCUGUCCGCCGGCUGCUGGCCCGUGUGUGCCGAGGCACCGGCGAGCUCUUCAGAUGCUCCCGAUGGGCAGGGGGAAGCGCUGGCGGUCUGCACUCCCGCCUUUGGACGCCUAUGGCUGAGGGGCACAGCCAGCUCAUCACUCCUCUUACAGCCUGGGGCCGGGAUGAAAACAACAUGUGCCAGGAGCUGAUGUUAAACAGCAGUUUAUGACUUCCUGAGUGGGUGAUUUCUGACUUGGUACGGGAUGACUCCAGUUGUCACUUCUAAGUAUUGUCUUGGAAGUAGAACUGGGACAAGUGAUGGCUAAAACUGUCUUCGAUGAUCAUGUUGAAACAGGCAUCUCACUGUUUGUUGAAAAAGGUUUCCUAACAAAAACUGCUGUAAUUUGAUUGUGUUUGUGGAUUGAUUGAAAUAAACUGAGUAUUAAUUGAAAUAAAAUGAGUAUG